rnacentral:rRNA from 1 species
GGAUGUUGGCUUAGAAGCAGCCAUCAUUUAAAGAGUGCGUAAUAGCUCACUAGUCUAGUGACACUGCGCCGAAAAUGUACCGGGGCUAAACAUAUUACCGAAGCUGUGGAUUGUCCUUUGGACAAUGGUAGGAGAGCGUUCUAAGGGCGUUGAAGCAUGAUCGUAAGGACAUGUGGAGCGCUUAGAAGUGAGAAUGCCGGUGUGAGUAGCGAAAGACGGGUGAGAAUCCCGUCCACCGAUUGACUAAGGUUUCCAGAGGAAGGCUCGUCCGCUCUGGGUUAGUCGGGUCCUAAGCUGAGGCCGACAGGCGUAGGCGAUGGAUAACAGGUUGAUAUUCCUGUACCACCUAUAAUCGUUUUAAUCGAUGGGGGGACGCAGUAGGAUAGGCGAAGCGUGCGAUUGGAUUGCACGUCUAAGCAGUAAGGCUGAGUAUUAGGCAAAUCCGGUACUCGUUAAGGCUGA